AUGGACGAAAGUCUGAUGGAGCAACGCCGCGUGAGUGAAGAAGGAUUUCGGUUCGUAAAACUCUGUUGCAAGGGAAGAACAAGUAGCGUAGUAACUGGCGCUACCUUGACGGUACCUUGUUAGAAAGCCACGGCUAACUACGUGCCAGCAGCCGCGGUAAUACGUAGGUGGCAAGCGUUGUCCGGAAUUAUUGGGCGUAAAGCGCGCGCAGGUGGUUCCUUAAGUCUGAUGUGAAAGCCCCCGGCUCAACCGGGGAGGGUCAUUGGAAACUGGGGAACUUGAGUGCAGAAGAGGAUAGUGGAAUUCCAAGUGUAGCGGUGAAAUGCGUAGAGAUUUGGAGGAACACCAGUGGCGAAGGCGACUGUCUGGUCUGUAACUGACACUGAGGCGCGAAAGCGUGGGGAGCAAACAGGAUUAGAUACCCUGGUAGUCCACGCCGUAAACGAUGAGUGCUAAGUGUUGGGGGGUUUCCGCCCCUCAGUGCUGCAGCUAACGCAUUAAGCACUCCGCCUGGGGA
rnacentral:rRNA from 1 species